AUAAAAUAAAAUAUUUGUAUGUGCUCAAUUAGAACACCGCCAACACGGCAACACCUGAGCCUUCAACCAUAAACAAGUACUAUACUACUAUGGGAUAAAAUUAAGAGAAAUGUACUGUAGAUUAUAAACAUAUCAAUUGACAAUGCAGCAUAUAAAUGAGUUCCUUUAGGGGUGUUUGAGCAAUUUGUAGAUGCGCAUAUUUGUGUUCACUUGUUCUUGUUUAAUUUCAUCAGAUCACUUUUUCAAGUGUUGUGACUGAAAAUCAGGAAUGAAUAACCUGUCAUCCUCAGGCCCAGGGACUGCUGUAGUGAACCAAGUACUUGCCGCCAUCAUACGUGACAUCCCCUUGACUUCAACCACCCCUUUCAAUUCAUACACAUGGAGCUCCGAUAUUGUAUCCCAAAUCCUCCGAUUAAUUCCCACUUUCUUCUUCACUCCAACCCGAUCCAUUGGCCGUCAAUCCAACCCGACCCGACACCGCACCCCUCUCAAACAACGCAACCUUAAACUCGAAUCCCAAAAGCUCAACAACGGGUCUCUUCUUCUGGGCCCUGGUGCCUUCCGUGACCCGACCCUGAUUGAUUAUGGGGUCAUGAAAUCAACCCAGUUCUUUUACUGGGUCGAAUCCGAGAAAUUCGGGUUUGCCCAUGAUGAGAGAACCGUUAAAGAGAUGGCUCUUGUGCUGGUUAAGGCUAACAAGCUCAGUAAUUUGUGGGAUUUUUUGAGGGAAAUGAGUAGGAGAGAGUGUCGUAAUGAUCAUGGGUUGGUUACUACAAAGUCUGUUACAUGUUUGAUGAAAUGCCUAUGUGAAGAGGGUUUGGUAAAUGAGGCAGUGCAUGCUUUUUAUAGAAUGAAGCAGUUUCAUUGCAAACCUGAUGUUUAUGCCUACAAUACUAUCAUUUUUGGGCUUUGUAGAGUUGGCUUCUUUAAGAAGGCUAAGCAUUUCUUGCAACAAAUGGAGUUACCGGGGUUUCGAUGCCCGCCUGAUACGUACACAUACACGAUUUUGAUAAGCUCUUAUUGUAAGCACGCCAUGAGUACUGGGUGUAGGAAGGCAAUCAGGCGGAGGGUGUGGGAAGCUAAUCAUCUGUUUCGGUUGAUGUUGUUUAAGGGAUUUGUUCCGGAUGUUGUUACCUACAAUAGUUUGAUUGAUGGGUGCUGCAAGACCAAUAGGAUUGAGAGAGCUCUUGAGCUGUUGGAGGAUAUGAACAAGAGGGGUUGUUUACCUAAUCGAGUUACUUAUGACUCUAUUAUUAGAUUCUAUAGUGUGGCGAAUGAGGUUGAUAAGGGUAUCGAGAUGUUGAGGAUAAUGCAAGAAAUGGGUCAUGGAACUCCUACCACAAGUUCGUACACGCCCAUUGUUCAUGGUUUGUGUGAAGUAGGGAGGGUGACAGAGGCAUGGAAUUUCCUUGUUGAGAUGGUGGAUAGAGGCUUUAUUCCUCGAGAGUACACGUACAAGUUGGUUCUUGACACCCUACAUUGCAAUGGUAAAGCAGACUUGUUGGAUGAAAAAACUCGUGGAAGAAUCGAGGAUGGUAUACUAGUUAGAUACGAGGAAAGAAAGAAGGCUAAACCUUUCAUGAACCGGAAAAAUUGUGCUCUUAUCAUUGAAUGAUUUCGUUGAGGGCUUUUUUGCUCUGUAUUGUCUUAAUGAAGGUGCAGCUGUUGGAAAUUAUGUGAUGCAGUUUGCAGUUGCUUCGGCAAUAAUGGUGAAUUGUGCUUGUGGCUUUCCUCGCGCGACUCAAACCUCCUGGACUCAUGACAACCCAGGAUGGAAAUUCAAAGCUUGCAAAUUCUACAAUCAUGAAACUGGGCACAGGGGAUGCAACACCUUUGACUGGGUUGAUGUUGAAGAGCCCACGAAUUGGCAGCGAGAUGUGAUAAACAUGCUGGUGGCAGAGAAGCAUAGGGUUGCUACUGAUAAUUACAUUUUGAAGUCAAGAUUGAUUUGUGUUGAGCAUCAAAAAAAUAGGUUGGAACAAGAAUUGCAAAAUAUUAACAGGAAGCCAUUGAAGAGGAAGGAAAUAGUUAACAAAAGUUUGGGUUUCAAUGCUGUUUUUUAUGUGUUAUUGUUUCAGCUGUAAUCAAUGUCAUUGUUGUGAAAGUGAUGAAUUAGAUUAAGAGGUGGAAUGUUGUUUAUGUAAGGAGAAGUGAUGUACAGAUGUUUGUGGUCAUCUUACUUUUGUUAAGUGUUUUGGGGUUGUAAAAGUGUUGUAAUAAUGUGGACCACUUUAUGAGAAUAAAAAGGAAACAUUUUGU